CCUACGGGUGACAGCAGUGGGGAAUAUUGGGCAAUGGGCGCAAGCCUGACCCAGCAACGCCGCCUGAAGGAAGAAGGCUUUCGGGUUGUAAACUUCUUUUCUCAGGGACGAAGAUAGUGACGGUACCUGAGGAAUAAGCCACGGCUAACUACGUGCCAGCAGCCGCGGUAAUACGUAGGGGGCAAGCGUUAUUCGGAUUUAUUGGGUGUAAGGGGCGUGUAGGCGGGAGCGCAAGUCAGAUGUGAAAACUUAGGGCUCAACCCUGAGCCUGCAUUUGAAACUGUGUUUCUUGAGUGCUGGAGAGGCAAUCGGAAUUCCGGGUGUAGCGGUGAAAUGCGUAGAGAUACGGAGGAACACCAGUGGCGAAGGCGGAUUGCUGGACAGUAACUGACGCUGAGGCGCGAAAGCGUGGGGAGCAAACAGGAUUAGAUACCCUAGUAGUC
rnacentral:rRNA from 1 species